rnacentral:rRNA from 1 species
UACAGAGGGUGCGAGCGUUAAUCGGAAUUACUGGGCGUAAAGCGCGCGUAGGCGGCUUUGCAAGUCGGGUGUGAAAGCCCCGGGCUUAACUUGGGAAUUGCGCUCGAAACUACGAUGCUGGAGUGUGGCAGAGGAAGGUGGAAUUCCACGUGUAGCGGUGAAAUGCGUAGAGAUGUGGAGGAACACCAAUGGCGAAGGCAGCCUUCUGGGCCAACACUGACGCUCAUGCACGAAAGCGUGGGGAGCAAACAGG